UUUGUAGCGGUGCCAGUGAAGAAGAGGACACAUGAAGACUUAGCAUUCCCUGCAGAAAACGCCCCUUCCCCGUGUGUGUGUGACAGCGUGUAUGUAAUGGCUUCUGAUAUCUGUGAAAGCUGCCAGGCAACAAACUUCUUCUACUGGAAAUGUCCCCAGAUCCACAGCAGGCACACAUGUUCCCAAGGGACCAGGGGUUGUAUGCAUUCUGACUGUGUGCUUCUUGUUCUCUGUGGUAGGUCAUGGGAAGAGCCCUUUUGAUCAACUUGGAGGGCUCUUCAGCUAACCCCCCAAUGGCUGCUUUGAACUUACUCAGGAAAGCCAGCCCCUGGAAUAUUGUGCAAGUCAACACUAUCACUUCCUUAGGAAGGUUCUAGAACAUCUCGAAAGGAUAUCAGUUUUCCUUACCUGCAAACAGAAAACAAACCCACUUUGUUUGUACUGAAGCUUAAAGCAAAUGUGGCCAAGUGGGGCCAAACUGACUCAAUAGGCAGUCUGUCAUAGUCCAGUUCUGCCUCUGUGAAAAGUGUUAGGGCAACUGGGUUAAAAUAGGGUUGGAGAAAGAGUCCAGAGCUAGAAAGAAGAUAUUUUUAGUAUGUGAGGUUAUCUAGGACUUAAGUUUCAUAAUUCAGUGCUGUGGAAAUGGGAAAAUGAUUGAAAAGGUAGAAAGGAAAUGACCUUAAGGACUGGGGUGAGGCACAGAAAUCUGAUUAAAGGUUGAAAUCAGUGUUUCAGAAUUCAGAUUGCCUCAAUUUUCCAAAAUGGUCACUAAAGCAUCUGAUAAAACCCAGAAUUCUUCGGCCAGCUGUGUGGAUUAACAGGCCUGUCACAACAUAAAAGGCUGGCAUGUAUAUUGGCAGGUGGAGAUUGUCACUGUAAAACUUAGCAGUUUCACUCCGAGGUUAGUCUAUGGUGGUCAGUGCACUGUGAGGGGAAUCCUUGUCCCUCCCUGGCAGCUAGCAAACAUUCCUCUAUUUACUAUAAUUGGAAUCCUCCCUUCCCCUGCAGCAGGCCGUCAGCUCACCUCACACAGCCCAGUUUUCUCUUCAUGUAGCAUGUCCAGGCAUGCUCCAGAGCUGGGUUUCCUGGCCUUCCCACACUCCCAGAUCACAGUCUCUUACAACCAUGCUUUUCAGGAUCCAGGAAGUAGUAAGUGUGCUGGGAGAUACCCAACUAACUGCAAGCUCACAAGCACCACAUCUUCUUGAGACAUCAGUUUUUCUUUCCAAAUGAUUUGAAGUCAAGAGAUGACCAUAUUUUUUAAUGGAACAAAUGCUUAUGUUAUACAAGAGAAUGUUCAUACACCUAAAGUGCUAAACUAAAAUAGGAAACUUGGAAGGAAACUCAUAUUUGUAAGUGGACAGUGAUUCUAUCUCCUCUGCUUGUGUGGUAUUUCCAUGUUCACUUUGAGAUUUUGUCUGAACUGGAUUCAGGCAGCCUUGGGGUUGCUGUUGAUCAAGGUCUAGACUUCCAGAUCCAAGGAGUCCACCUUGGAGUAGUACAUCUCCCUUUUCCUGUCAGCCAGCUUGCCUGUGUACUUAUCACAAAGCUUUAGGGGCAGCUAACAUGUGUAUGUACAGGAUAGUUCUGAGGCAGAAACAGCAUAGACUUAUUGUAGGAGUCCUAUUUAUGUCAUUGUUCAGCCCUGUGCAUGCUAGAAAAUGAUUUAUCCCUUUGAGGCCAGGAAACUGCCAAGCCACUCUGCUGUAGGCUAGGAUUACUGAAACUCACCACACAUACAAGGAUAUUGGGGCAGAGCGGAGUGUGAGAUCUAAAAAUAUGUAUACUUUCCCCAGCUGGUGGCUAGUAGAUGGCUUAGACAAUUUUGGUGUCUUACCAUCUGUCUGCAAAGACUGGAGAAUUUAAUACAUCUUGAGUUGACAACCUCCAGUGAUAUCCUGUUCUGCCAAAAUUUUAAAAGAAGGGCCACUGUAGAAAGAGUGUAAACUAUCACAAGAUUGAAAAGACUUGACAGUUUGGAAGCUUGUCUUGUCUUUCUCAGUAAUCAUUGAUCUUUACAUGUUGACCUUAUAUUAGCAAUGAACAGAUCAUUGCCUCUCCACCCAAUCAUGCUAUUUCUUUAAAUCAGUAUUUGGGGAAUGCAAGCAUUUAUGCAGUGGUUAUAAACAGAAAUAUAAGAUUUGCCAACCUGUCUCUUUAAAUUACCAUCUCUCUGAAAUCCUCAAGGAAAGCAUUUUCCCUUUACUUAGUAAGGGUUUCAGAUUCACUUUAUGGGCUCCUGCUGUCUUCAACACUGAUAAAACUUUAACCAGAAAAGCAUUAAACACAGCACAGCAGCCCCUAGCCCAGAUCCCUAAGUUCCUAGUGGCAGCAUUUAUCAAUGUAAGAACAAGAAUACUUUCUGUACUGGUAUCAGCUUCGUCCUCAAAGCUAUGACCUCUUACUUGGCCUUGUGCCCCAUAGUGAACGAAGCUUCUUGCCUUUCCAGGUCAGUGUGAGUUAAGAUUGUCAGAGUUGUAUGUGUCCUGACAGACUGUGGACAGCAGGGUUUGCCCAAAUCAUCAAGUGAUACAGGUAAUGAAUGUCUCUAAAAUAAGUUGGGUCCUCCAAACAAGUCCUGGAUACCUUCUGAAUGUUAAGUUUCUGAGUGCUGAGAGUAAUUUGUUCAUUGGUUUGGUUUGAUACCGUUAUAUCUAUCUAGGGCAGUUCCAAGAAGUGCUUGACUUCUCAGCUCUAACAGCCAGUAAGAGUAAGUAACCUUAGUACAGGCAAUGAGCCUCUGUAGAUGUGCAGAGGACAAGUCACUUGUCUGUAGUUGCUAACAAACAAUGGAACCAGUUUUGAGCACAGCACUCCCUGCUCUGCAGUCAGCCCUCUGCCCCACACCAUGACUCACCUACAGAUUGAGAGAGAGAAAGGCUUUCAGUUCCCCCAGUGUAGUAUGCCCAUUCACACUCGGAAUUCUUUUUCAAAGACAUCAAGAUGGCCUUAGUACUCUGCUCUAGUAGAUGUUGUAAGUAUUCAUUGUUCCUUCCAGGAGCUGGAUUUUUGGUACAGUCCCCACAAAGGAAAAUAAAGGCCUUCAAGAGUGUAAAGUUUUUAGACAGAGUUGGAGGUAAUGGUAGUCUUCUAACAUUAUCUAAAUAUCUCCUGCUUCAUUACUAUAGAAAGCAACUCUUCAUGUUUUAGGAAACCCAGCUACCAUGUUUGUACUCUGAGAAGGUGCCAAUACAAAUCACUAAUUUUGGACUCCCUUCCUGGAGUGUGUGUGUGUGUGUGUGUGUGUGUGUGUGUGUGUGUGUGUGUGUGUGUGUGUGUAAAUGAGAAUGAGAUUUGUACACACCCACAUAUUCUAUACCACUUAAUUAAGAGUUAAGUGAAGUUCAAAGCAGCCCCUGGUGAUCUUACUUAACACCACAAAGUUUUCUACUAGGUCCAUGAAAGUAUAAACAGAUAAUUGGAGUGUGACUGCUGGCUUUCCAGAAUAACCCACUUGUGGUAGAUGUCAACUCUUACAGCUCCAAGCCAAGGUGACGACAACCCAGCCCUCUUCCACCAUGUCUAAUAACAUGGGACAUGGUAGAUGCCUUGUCAUUUGGUGACCUGGAUCUGGGCCCGAGUUUAGAGCUGCAGAAUUUAUAACCUUGUAGUAGUCAGUGGUCUAAGAAGUCCUCUCUCCCCACAGAGAAAAUGUCUUGCUGAUUCCUGAUAUUCUACUCUCAUAAGCUGUUCAGUACACACUUCUCAGUCAAUUGGUUGCUUGUUUACUAUGUGCUGAGCACAUCUAGAUUUUUUGUUUGUUUAAAGUUAAAAGUCCCAUUAUAAAUCAAGUCUAACCCUGCCCUAAGAGAAAAGACCCACAGAGACUGCACAUCUCACUGACGCUGCCUUCACCCAUUAGUGUUUGAGGCCCACCAUCCUAUGGAGCCAGGUAUUCCCACAUCAUUCAGAUCACUGGUGUUUCCCAUUACUGUUUGAGGCUGAGCAGAAACACUAACAAGGACCAGAGCAGGAACGGGAAAAUAAAUGAAGACACUUGGAGUGCACUGUUGAGAAAAUAGCCAGAGUCCAUGCUGGGCUUGAUGUGGCUUUAGGGGACCAAUCAUAUAUACUUUAUGGAAGUUAAACCUGACCAGUCUUUACAGUGACAGGCCACAGCGCGUGAGUGGGUAGAACCAACAAAUCCAUUGUCUUCUGCCUGUUUUUGUGUGCACAGUCACAUUCCCUCCUUAGUCAUCUUCCCCUUCCACUCUUUACACUAAACAAGGGAACACUCAAUCUUUCAAGGGAAUUACAUAUCUGAGUUAAUGUUUCAGUAUAUCAUUUUCAUACUGUAAAUUAUUUUGUAAGAGAGAUUUACUGCUAUCCCAGGAUGUUCGGACUUGGCGCCCCUGUGCAUUUGGAAAUCAAUAAACUAUUACUGGAAAUACC
rnacentral:lncRNA from 1 species